GCCAGUCUGCAUGGAGCCGACCUUGAAAUACCACCCUUUAAUGUUUGAUGUUCUAACGUUGACCCGUAAUCCGGGUUGCGGACAGUGUCUGGUGGGUAGUUUGACUGGGGCGGUCUCCUCCUAAAGAGUAACGGAGGAGCACGAAGGUUGGCUAAUCCUGGUCGGACAUCAGGAGGUUAGUGCAAUGGCAUAAGCCAGCUUGACUGCGAGCGUGACGGCGCGAGCAGGUGCGAAAGCAGGUCAUAGUGAUCCGGUGGUUCUGAAUGGAAGGGCCAUCGCUCAACGGAUAAAAGGUACUCCGGGGAUAACAGGCUGAUACCGCCCAAGAGUUCAUAUCGACGGCGGUGUUUGGCACCUCGAUGUCGGCUCAUCACAUCCUGGGGCUGAAGUAGGUCCCAAGGGUAUGGCUGUUCGCCAUUUAAAGUGGUACGCGAGCUGGGUUUAGAACGUCGUGAGACAGUUCGGUCCCUAUCUGCCGUGGGCGCUGGAGAACUGAGGGGGGCUGCUCCUAGUACGAGAGGACCGGAGUGGACGCAUCACUGGUGUUCGGGUUGUCAUGCCAAUGGCACUGCCCGGUAGCUAAAUGCGGAAGAGAUAAGUGCUGAAAGCAUCUAAGCACGAAACUUGCC
rnacentral:rRNA from 1 species